UACAGAGGGAUGCUACCGGGCGACCGGAUGCGGAUCUCGAAAGCCUGUCCCAGUUCGGACUGGAGUCUGCAACCCGACUCCACGAAGUUGGAUUCGCUAGUAAUCGCGCAUCAGCCAUGGCGCGGUGAAUACGUUCCCGGGCCUUGUACACACCGCCCGUCAAGCCAUGGAAGCCGGGAGUGCCUGAAGUGUGCAACCGCAAGGAGCGCCCUAAGGUAAAACUGGUGACUGGGGCUAAGUCGUAACAAGGUAAC
rnacentral:rRNA from 1 species